GAUUUCCUGGGGUGAUCGCCAGUGAGUUAUGUCCCUGAGCCGAUAUCUAAAAUCCUAUGAAUCGGUUUCCUGUCAUUGGUGUGUAAGCUUAACCAUAUUUAUAUGGGCUAAGAAACCUAAAAAUGAUUAUAACUGAUUCCCUUGAACCGUCGGGUUCAAGGACUACUACUCGCAACGACACCCUGGGGUCUUC
rnacentral:other from 1 species